rfam:Bacteroidetes bacterium HLTCCA01 ITZX_scaf_103, whole genome shotgun sequence.
AAGUCUGGGGUAAGUCUCAUACGACUAGCUCCCUCUGAACUCCGCCAGGACCGGAAGGUAGCAACGGUAAGAGGUUGUAGCGGUGCGAUAUGAAUCGCUUACCCCUUU